rnacentral:rRNA from 1 species
UACGGGGGGAGCAAGCGUUGUUCGGAUUUACUGGGCGUAAAGGGCGCGUAGGCGGCCACCGCAAGUCGAUUGUGAAAUCUCCGGGCUUAACCCGGAAAGGUCAACCGAUACUGCGGGGCUAGAGUGCAGAAGGGGCAACUGGAAUUCUCGGUGUAGCGGUGAAAUGCGUAGAUAUCGAGAAGAACACUUAGGGCGAAGGCAAGACUCUGGACAAAUGCUGACGCUCAUGCACGAAGGCUAGGGUAGCGAACGGG